UACGUAGGGUGCGAGCGUUGUCCGGAAUUAUUGGGCGUAAAGAGCUCGUAGGCGGUUUGUCGCGUCGGAUGUGAAAGCCCGGGGCUUAACUCCGGGUCUGCAUUCGAUACGGGCAGGCUAGAGUUCGGUAGGGGAGAUCGGAAUUCCUGGUGUAGCGGUGAAAUGCGCAGAUAUCAGGAGGAACACCGGUGGCGAAGGCGGUUCUCUGGGCCUUACCUGACGCUGAGGAGCGAAAGCGUGGGGAGCAAACAGG
rnacentral:rRNA from 1 species